rnacentral:rRNA from 1 species
GGGCCCGCACAAGCGGUGGAGCAUGUGGUUUAAUUCGAUGAUACGCGAGGAACCUUACCAGGGCUUAAAUGGGAAAUGACAGGGGCAGAGACGCCCCCUUCUUCGGACAUUUUUCAAGGUGCUGCAUGGUUGUCGUCAGCUCGUGCCGUGAGGUGUCAGGUUAAGUCCUAUAACGAGCGCAACCCCUACCGUUAGUUGCCAGCGAGUCAUGUCGGGGACUCUAACGGGACUGCCGGUGCAAACCGUGAGGAAGGUGGGGACGACGUCAAAUCAUCACGGCCCUUACGUCCUGGGCCACACACGUGCUACAAUGGUGACUACAGAGGGCAGCGAAGCGGCGACGUGGAGCAAAUCCCAAAAAAGUCAUCUCAGUUCGGAUUGGAGUCUGCAACUCGACUCCAUG